CCUCUAUCUCUCUACCCGUACUCACCUGUCAACUCUCCCCUCACCCUCGAUCUCUCCGACACCACUCUGAGUCUCCUCCCUCAAUCUCUCCUCAUUUGAAUCUCCUUUCCUCUCUCGUCUCAGACCUCAAUCUCGAGCCCAUGCUCCUAUCUCCGUACACGGUACGUCGACUCUCUACACUUUCUCGUUCUCCCUCCCACCCGUAGUGACUGAGUCGACCUCGACUGUGUCGACAUCACAGCAGCCAGCCACCAUCACCAUCGUCCUCGUCGUCGAGAACACCACCAUCAUCCAGCAAAUCCCUAGCACGAAUUGCAGACUCAACGACAUCUCUGGUUCGAUCCGUGAGGAAGACGACGAGUUUGGUUUGAUUUGGUUUUAAAUUGCAAGUAGCUUCGUGAUUCUUCUGCUGACAAAUAGUCAAAGCCUUUGCAGUUCAAAGAUAAACAUUGCUGUCCUUUCUCAAGAGGGACCGGGACCUUACUCUUGCAUUUAUAUUAGGGGUGAAGAAACCGGUAUAUUACGAAUCAAAAGCUCGUCUGGGACCAGAGACAAGGUACUAGAAGAUGGAACAAAAACCAGUUCCCUUGUAGUCAACGAUUCUCAUUCAUUCGCUCUGAUGAUUGGAACAAAAUGUUGUACAAAUUUCGUGGCUCUGGUUUUAGAAUUUUAGACAACUCUUGCCAUCCACAUUACUCUUAAAUAUACAACUGUUGUACAAGUAGUCUUAGUUACUAAGGCAUAGGAAAGUUUUGAUUUCAUUUGAUUGAAAUCAGUGUCUCCAGUUAAUCGAAUAAGCAAACAUAGCUGCUUCAUUCUAAUUUCAGAAAAUCCAAAUCCAUGAAAACA